rnacentral:rRNA from 1 species
UCCGGUGUUUAUAGCGGCGAAGUCACACCCGAUCCCAUCCCGAACUCGGAAGUUAAGCUCGCCAGCGCCGAUGGUACUGCACGGGAGACCGUGUGGGAGAGUAGGACGACGCCGGAU